UACGGGGGGGGCAAGCGUUGUUCGGAAUUACUGGGCGUAAAGGGCUCGUAGGUGGCCAACUAAGUCAGACGUGAAAUCCCUCAGCUUAACUGGGGAACUGCGUCUGAUACUGGAUGGCUUGAGUUUGGGAGAGGGAUGCGGAAUUCCAGGUGUAGCGGUGAAAUGCGUAGAUAUCUGGAGGAACACCGGUGGCGAAGGCGGCAUCCUGGACCAAUACUGGCACUGAGGAGCGAAAGCCAGGGGAGCAAACGGG
rnacentral:rRNA from 1 species